GUUCAACGGCCGCGGUAUCCUAACCGUGCGAAGGUAGCGCAAUCACUUGUUCUUUAAAUAAGGACUAGUAUGAAUGGCACCACGAAGGUUAUACUGUCUCCUUUUUCUAAUCAGUGAAACUAAUCUUCCCGUGAAGAAGCGGGAAUAACCAUAUAAGACGAGAAGACCCUAUGGAGCUUUAAACUAAGUAACAAAUAUCUUCUCAAAACUAAAUAUCAAAAUUAACCAGAUAUUAUGAUUACUAGUUUUAGGUUGGGGUGACCAUGGAGAAUAACUCAACCUCCAUGCCGAAAUGACUAAUAAAAUCUAAGCUACGAACAACAGUUCCAAGCAUCAAUACCUUGACGUCUAUUGACCCAAUUUUUGAUCAACGAACCAAGUUACCCUAGGGAUAACAGCGCAAUCCACUUCAAGAGCUCAUAUCGACAAGUGGGUUUACGACCUCGAUGUUGGAUCAGGGUAUCCUAGUGGUGCAGCCGCUACUAAAGGUUCGUUUGUUCAACGAUUAAAACCC
rnacentral:rRNA from 1 species